UGCCUCCAGCUUUGUUCUUCUGGCUUAGGAUUGACUUGGCGAUGUGGGCUCUUUUUUGGUUCCAUAUGAACUUUAAAGUAGUUUUUUCCAAUUCUGUGAAGAAAGUCAUUGGUAGCUUGAUGGGGAUGGCAUUGAAUCUAUAAAUUACCUUGAGCAGUAUGGCCAUUUUCACAAUAUUGAUUCUUUCUACCCAUGAGCAUGGAAUGUUCUUCCAUUUGUUUGUAUCCUCUUUUAUUUCCUUGAGCAGUGGUUUGUAGUUCUCCUUGAAGAGGUCCUUCACAUCCCUUGUAAGUUGGAUUCCUAGGUAUUUUAUUCUCAUAAAAGAAAAUUUUUAUCUUUUAUCAUAGAACUACAACUUUGGUUAAACAAUGUAUGUAGCUGAUUAUAUUCUUUUGACAAUUCUAUCAAAUUUCCAAGAGUUAUAGUUUUCUCCCCUCCCCCAAGACAUUUGGAGAGCACAUGGACAUCUGUGUCCCGGCCUCACGGUACCUCCCUCAUCCCCAUGGAAAGAGGAAGAUGAGAGAAGGGAGGGAGGCCUUUGGCAGCCAAGGGAAGACAAGUUUCAGGAGUUCAUGAAGCACCAUCCCCCACCCCCAGUGAAGACCCUACCAGAAGGUCUUAUGUUCUGAGCUAUAUUGAGUGACUGCCUCAUUACCACUCCCUACUGUUAUGUGGCAAGUGUCAGGGCUGUGGCAAGGGUCAGGCUAUCAUCAUUGGCCCCUUCAAUAGACUGACCCUAGCAUUAGGGCAACCAUAAGUCCCUGUGUGCCCAAGACAAUCCUAGUUUACAUCUGAGGCCCCAGUGUCACUAUUAAUAGUGACCUCCUUUCACUCUCAAAGUUGUUCCAGUUUGGGCAAUGAAUUAUAUGAUCAAAGGCCCCAUCUCCUUUCAUCUGUCUGUCUCUCUUUUUUUCCCUUCCAUAGAGAUUUUAUCCAUCCCCACAGCUUAAAAUUCUUUCCCUCUGAAGAUAACUACUGAAUUUUCAUCUCUGUCUUUUUGCCCUGAGUCCACAAUUUCCGCUUGGAUACUGAAACAGUCACCCUCUCAGUGCUGGUGGAAAUGACACAAACUGACAAGUAUUUAUUUAGCCUCAUUCCCAUCACUCACCACUGCCACCCAGAAAAGUGUCACCUGAGUAUUUAUUGCAUGCAGCCCCAACACUAAAGAAAGAUCAGAAAUAUUUGUUCCCGUGGUGGAAAAUAAAGGGCUAUUUGCCCACGUCGCCAGGCUUCCUCUGGAAAGCAUCUGGGAAUCAUUCCAGAAAUUCAAUUUCCAGGUGUGUGUUUCUUUAAGGAAAUAUUGUGGAGUAGAGAAGGAACGCACUGUGCAGGUGCCAUUGGCUGUGGGCGUUGCUAUGGCAGAUCAGCCUUAUUACUGAAUAGCAAAGGAAGGAGUCACCAGGAAAACACAACAUGAACAGGCAGAGUGCACACGCCGUGGCCUCGGGAAGCCACAAUCAUGUGGCUGACAUGGUUCCAGAGUGUGGCAUUAGGGAGACCAACUUCUGAGCUGCAGAUUCACAGCAUGGCCAUGCAGGCAGGGAAGAUGUGCUCUACUCCAGGAUCAAGGAGCAAGCCCAUAUUUCCUCUUGAUUCUGGGACUCCCUCUUGAGACUGAUUUGCUCUAAUGUUAGCUCUUGAGAGAACUGGGGUCCCUGCCUUCUUGGGGAGCCUGAAAAGAAGUUUUGCUGUCUGGGCAUCACAGCAUCCAGAGUGUACAGGAGACAGGUCAGCAGCUGCGGUCAGCAGAGGCACACACGCCAGCCCCUGGAGAUGGGUGGCUUGUCCUGAGCCAAAGCUGGGCUGGUUUAUAAACAGCACCUGUGAAAAGAAGAGGGAUGACUCCAGUGGGACAUUCCUGAACCAUGUGCACCUAUUCACCUAGGAGAAGGAAUGGCUGGAGUUGCAUCUAUCUUUCUGUUUAUGAAAUAUGGGCCCAACUCCAGCGACAACAUAAUUUUUAGACCAUUUAGUGGAAUAAUAAAAGUCAAAAGAGGAAAGAGAACUUACAUGGAUUGAACACCCACUGCAUGCUUAGCUCUCUGCUAGGUGCAUUACAGAAAAGAGCUUAUUGAAUUCUUACGCAAACCCUUGAGGAUGAAUGGCCGCUCACCUGGAGUCUUGAUAGCCAGGUGAUGCAGAUUUAGGAGAAGAAGUCCACCUCAGGUCAGGUUUCCCCAAAGGCAGAUCCUGAGAUGAGGAAUCCAGGACCUAUCACUUACUUGGGAGCUACCACUUCCUCCACGAGAUGACUUGCUCUCUGGAUUGGAGGUGUGUCUGCAUUUCAGGAACAAGCAACUUUUCUCUGUGGCUACAGGCUGUACUCUGAACCUCCACCAUUGGAAAGUCAACUCCUGCUACGUCCUGUUCAGCAAGGAUUUGAGCAGGUUUGGUGAAGGUAAAUGCAUUCCUAUUGCCAUGGAGACAUGGUAUUUCUCAGUGACAGAGAACAGAGAAGCAAAGUUAAAGUUACUUGCAUGGCAAUAUAGUAGAAAAAGUAAAAACUCAGAGCCUGGAUGUGUAGGGCAGGCAUGGGGAACUUCUGGCUUCCAGCUCUUGGCUCAAUUUU
rnacentral:lncRNA from 1 species